AUACUCUGGUUUUUCUGCAGAUCAUAUAAAUCUUUCACCUUUUACUAAAGAUUUCCCUGGAGAGGAACAAUUCUGAGUCUUUCCCCAAUUUUUUGAGGCCUUGCUCUCGCAAGGCU
ensembl:snRNA U5 U5 spliceosomal RNA